AACGAACGCUGGCGGCAGGCCUAACACAUGCAAGUCGAGCGCCCCGCCCGGGGUUCGGCGGACGGGUGAGUAACGCGUGGGGAGAUUCCCUUUGCUACGGCAUAGCCUCGGCAAACUGGGGGUAAUACGGAAUACGCCCUUUUGCGGGAAGGUUUUUCGGCCUAGGUUUAGCCCGCGUGGGAUUGGGUAGUGGGUGGGGUAAUGGCCUGCCAAGCCGACGAUGCAUAGCUGGGUUGAGAGGAGGACCAGCCACACUGGGACUGCGACACGGCCCAGACUCCGACGGGAGGCAGCAGUGGGGAGUCUUAGACGAGGGGGGCAACCCUGAUCAAGCCAUGCCGCGGGAGUGAUGAAGGGCGUAGGGUUGUAAAGCUCUUUGAGCUGGGGAGAUAGUGACGGUACCGGGAGAAGAAGCCCCGGCUAACUACGUG
rnacentral:rRNA from 1 species